UCUUUCCGGAUGAGUUGCGAACGGGUGAGUAACGCGUAGGUAACCUGCCUGGUAGCGGGGGAUAACUAUUGGAAACGAUAGCUAAUACCGCAUAACAGUAGAUAUUGCAUGAUAUCUGCUUGAAAGGUGCAAUUGCAUCACUACCAGAUGGACCUGCGUUGUAUUAGCUAGUUGGUGAGGUAACGGCUCACCAAGGCGACGAUACAUAGCCGACCUGAGAGGGUGAUCGGCCACACUGGGACUGAGACACGGCCCAGACUCCUACGGGAGGCAGCAGUAGGGAAUCUUCGGCAAUGGACGGAAGUCUGACCGAGCAACGCCGCGUGAGUGAAGAAGGUUUUCGGAUCGUAAAGCUCUGUUGUAAGAGAAGAACGAGUGUGAGAGUGGAAAGUUCACACUGUGACGGUAUCUUACCAGAAAGGGACGGCUAACUACGUGCCAGCAGCCGCGGUAAUACGUAGGUCCCGAGCGUUAUCCGGAUUUAUUGGGCGUAAAGCGAGCGCAGGCGGUUAGAUAAGUCUGAAGUUAAAGGCUGUGGCUUAACCAUAGUACGCUUUGGAAACUGUUUAACUUGAGUGCAAGAGGGGAGAGUGGAAUUCCAUGUGUAGCGGUGAAAUGCGUAGAUAUAUGGAGGAACACCGGUGGCGAAAGCGGCUCUCUGGCUUGUAACUGACGCUGAGGCUCGAAAGAUGGGGAGCAAAC
rnacentral:rRNA from 1 species